AUUGAACGCUGGCGGCAGGCCUAACACAUGCAAGUCGAGCGGAUGAAGGGAGCUUGCUCCUGGAUUCAGCGGCGGACGGGUGAGUAAUGCCUAGGAAUCUGCCUGGUAGUGGGGGAUAACGUCCGGAAACGUGCGCUAAUACCGCAUACGCCCUGAGGGAGAAAGUGGGGGAUCUUCGGACCUCACGCUAUCAGAUGAGCCUAGGUCGGAUUAGCUAGUUGGUGGGGUAAAGGCCUACCAAGGCGACGAUCCGUAACUGGUCUGAGAGGAUGAUCAGUCACACUGGAACUGAGACACGGUCCAGACUCCUACGGGAGGCAGCAGUGGGGAAUAUUGGACAAUGGGCGAAAGCCUGAUCCAGCCAUGCCGCGUGUGUGAAGAAGGUCUUCGGAUUGUAAAGCACUUUAAGUUGGGAGGAAGGGCAGUAAGUUAAUACCUUGCUGUUUUGACGUUACCAACAGAAUAAGCACCGGCUAACUUCGUG
rnacentral:rRNA from 1 species